rnacentral:misc_RNA from 1 species
ACCUGCCGACCAAGUUGUUGUGUGCCCUCGUGCGGACCUCCCCAAGGGGCAGCGUGCGCACGGGCCCUUGUUCCUGGCCUCCGCCACUGGCCGGCGCUGCUCUCGCUCAGGCGGGAACCGUGCUGCCGGCGAAGACGGGGGAAAAGGUCUUGUGGGGCGGGACUUKCGCYUCGUCCGAGACGAGGGGUGUGCCGCACGGCUUCGCAGCCGUGUGACGCGUCCGCCCGCYGGCCRAAACCCCCACAACCACAACAUACCUUAAGAUGCUGAAGACCGGCGGCCCUGGCUCCGAGCGAGGGUGCGCCCACAAACGAGAAACAACUCUCAACAACGGAUAUCUUGGCUCCCGCAACGAUGAAGAACGCAGCGAAAUGCGAUACUUAAUGUGAAUUGCAGAAUUCCGUGAAUCAUCGAGUUUUUGAACGCAUAUUGCGCCCGAGGCCUCGGCCGAGGGCAUGCCUGCCUCAGCGUCGGUUGACUCCAUCGUCUCGCUUCCCUCGCGGAAGGUUGACGGAUCUGGUCGUCCCGCUGGAGACAGCGGGUCGGCUGCAGCGCAGAGUGAUACGGACGCUCGUCGACAGACGCGGCCAGAUUGGUAGGUAGUCGCUCACGAUUGCAUGCCUUCUGGAAGCCAGACGAGCGAAUCGAUCCAGCAGGGCGGGGGACUGGCCACGGCUGGUC